UACGGGGGGGGCAAGCGUUGUUCGGAAUUACUGGGCGUAAAGGGCUCGUAGGCGGCCAACUAAGUCUGGUGUGAAAUCUAGGAGCUCAACUCCUAAACUGCACUGGAUACUGCUCUGCUAGAGGACUGGAGAGGAGACUGGAAUUCACGGUGUAGCAGUGAAAUGCGUAGAUAUCGUGAGGAAGACCAGUGGCGAAGGCGGGUCUCUGGACAGUUCCUGACGCUGAGGCGCGAAGGCCAGGGGAGCAAACGGG
rnacentral:rRNA from 1 species